GGCCAUGCGGUGGCUUAAUACAUGCAGUCGUGGGGCAGCAGGUUUGUAGCAAUACAGAUGCUGGCGACCGGCAAACGGGUGCGGAACACGUACACAACCUUCCUUUAAGUGGGGAAUAGCCCGGGGAAACCCGGAUUAAUACCCCGUAAUAUUGUGAAAUGGCAUCAUUUUACAAUUAUAGCUCCGGCGCUUAAUGAUGGGUGUGUGGCUGAUUAGGUAGUUGGCGGGGUAAUGGCCCACCAAGCCUGCGAUCAGUAACUGGUGUGAGAGCACGACCAGUCACACGGGCACUGAGACACGGGCCCGACUCCUACGGGAGGCAGCAGUAAGGAAUAUUGGUCAAUGGACGCAAGUCUGAACCAGCCAUGCCGCGUGGAGGAUGAAGGCCCUCUGGGUUGUAAACUUCUUUUAUUUGGGACGAAAAAGGAUCUUUCCAGAUCAACUGACGGUACCAGAUGAAUAAGCACCGGCUAACUCCGUGCCAGCAGCCGCGGUAAUACGGAGGGUGCAAGCGUUAUCCGGAUUCACUGGGUUUAAAGUCUGCGUAGGUGGGUCUGUAAGUCCGUGGUGAAAUCUCCGAGCUUCACUUGGAAACUGCCAUGGAUACUAUAGGUCUCGAAUACUGUGGAGGUCAGCGUAAUAUGUCAUGUAGCGGUGAAAUGCUUAUAUAUGACAUAGAACACCAAUUGCGAAGGCAGCUGACUACACUAAUAUAGACACUGAUGCACGAAAGCGUGGAGAUCAAACAGGAUUAGAUACCCUGGUAGUCCACGCCCUAAACCAUGGAUACUCGACAUUUGCGAUAACUGCAAGUGUCUGAGCGAAAGCAUUAAGUAUCCCACCUGGGAAGUAUGAUCGUCACCAUUGAAGCUCAAAGGAAUUGGCGGUGGUACCGCACAGCAGUUGGAGCAUGUCCUCUAUUUCGAUGCAACGCGAGAAUCUUACCUGGCCUUGACAAGUCCGUAAUCUGGCAAGAUGCGGGCAGUGAUUCUGGGAAUCGGAACAAAGGUCUUGAUGA
rnacentral:rRNA from 1 species